GGUCCCAUCGUCUAGCGGCUAGGACGCCGGCCUCUCACGUCGGUAACGGGGGUUCGAUUCCCCCUGGGACCA
rnacentral:tRNA from 1 species